rnacentral:rRNA from 1 species
GGGGCUAUACUGCAGUCGAACGCUUCUUUCCUCCCGAGUGCUUGCACUCAAUUGGAAAGAGGAGUGGCGGACGGGUGAGUAACACGUGGGUAACCUACCCAUCAGAGGGGGAUAACACUUGGAAACAGGUGCUAAUACCGCAUAACAGUUUAUGCCGCAUGGCAUAAGAGUGAAAGGCGCUUUCGGGUGUCGCUGAUGGAUGGACCCGCGGUGCAUUAGCUAGUUGGUGAGGUAACGGCUCACCAAGGCCACGAUGCAUAGCCGACCUGAGAGGGUGAUCGGCCACACUGGGACUGAGACACGGCCCAGACUCCUACGGGAGGCAGCAGUAGGGAAUCUUCGGCAAUGGACGAAAGUCUGACCGAGCAACGCCGCGUGAGUGAAGAAGGUUUUCGGAUCGUAAAACUCUGUUGUUAGAGAAGAACAAGGACGUUAGUAACUGAACGUCCCCUGACGGUAUCUAACCAGAAAGCCACGGCUAACUACGUGCCAAUAGUUGUAG